AUGAAUUGUUUAAGCUGGAACUGUCGGGGGCUUGGGAACCCCAAGGUAGUUUGCGAGCUUCGCAAUGUUGUGAAGCAAGAAGGGCCCGCUCUGGUUUUUGUUAUGGAGACAAAAAUCAGAGGCAAGCGAGUUGAGGAUCUGCGGCACACCCUAGGGUUUGUGGGCAGCUUUUUGGUGGACAGCGACGGCCUUAGCGGAGGUAUAGGGCUGUUCUGGUCGAGCGAUGUGAAAGUGGAACUGAAGAAUUACAGCAAAAACCACAUUGAUGUGCUGGUGAGGGAGGACACAGAUGUUGGUUGGCGGUUCACGGGGUUCUAUGGAGCACCGAAAGCAGCAGAUCGCCACCACAGCUGGCGGUUCCUGCAAACCUUGCUUGCAAUCCCUCAUGAUGCAUGGUUGUGCAUCGAUGAUUUCAAGGGAACCCUAUAUCCCCAGGAGCAUUUCAGCCUUUCAGCUCGUCCCGAGAGGCAGAUGAGGGACUUUUAA
rnacentral:rRNA from 1 species